UACGUAGGGGGCUAGCGUUGUCCGGAAUCAUUGGGCGUAAAGAGCGUGUAGGCGGUCCGGUAAGUCCGUUGUGAAAGUCAGGGGCUCAACCCCGAACUUGCAGUGGGUACGGGCAGACUAGAGUGUGGUAGGGGAGACUGGAAUUCCUGGUGUAGCGGUGAAAUGCGCAGAUAUCAGGAGGAACACCGAUGGCGAAGGCAGGUCUCUGGGCCAUAACUGACGCUGAGAAGCGAAAGCAUGGGGAGCGAACAGG
rnacentral:rRNA from 1 species